AACCUAGCACACCUGCGGUGUGUACCUGCGGAGGGAUCAUUAACGAGUUACCACUCUAUAACCCUUUGUGAACAUACCUACAUGUUGCUUCGGCGGUCGGCCCCCCCGGGCCCCCGGCCCCGCUCACGCGGGGCGUCCGCCGGAGGAUAACCAAACUCUGAUUUAACGACGUUUCUUCUGAGUGGCACAAGCAAAUAAUCAAAACUUUCAGCAAUGGAUCU
rnacentral:misc_RNA from 1 species